GACGAACCGUGCGACCGUUAUUCGGAAUCACUGGGCUUAAAGCGCGUGUAGGCGGCCCGGCGCGUCGGAUGCUGAAAUCCCCCGGCUCAACCGGGGAAGGGGCGCCGAUACGGCCGGGCUGGAGGGGGGUAGGGGGCGCUGGAACUCACGGUGGAGCGGUGAAAUGCGUUGAGAUCGUGAGGGACGCCCGCGGCGAAAGCGAGCGCCUGGACCCUUUCUGACGCUGAGACGCGAAAGCCAGGGGAGCGAACGGG
rnacentral:rRNA from 1 species